rnacentral:rRNA from 1 species
CCUACGGGAGGCAGCAGUCGAGAAUCAUUCACAAUGGGGGAAACCCUGAUGGUGCGACGCCGCGUGGGGGAAUGAAGUUCUUCGGAUUGUAAACCCCAGUCAUGUGGGAGCAAAUUAAAAAGAUAGUACCACAAGAGGAAGAGACGGCUAACUCUGUGCCAGCAGCCGCGGUAAUACAGAGGUCUCAAGCGUUGUUCGGAAUCACUGGGCGUAAGGCGUGCGUAGGCUGUUUCGUAAGUCGUGUGUGAAAGGCGCGGGCUCAACCCGCGGACGGCACAUGAUACUGCGAGACUAGAGUAAUGGAGGGGGAACCGGAAUGCUCGGUGUAGCAGUGAAAUGCGUAGAUAUCGAGAGGAACACUCGUGGCGAAGGCGGGUUCCUGGACAUUAACUGACGCUGAGGCACGAAGGCCAGGGGAGCGAAAGGGAUUAGAUACCCCAGUAGUC